rnacentral:ncRNA from 3 species
CCACCCCCCGGCCCCCUCCUCUGAAGAGGAGGGGGGGAUUGGCAUUGUGCUCCCCCUCCUCUUCAGAGGAGGGGGCCGGGGGGUGG